GAAUGUUACACAGAGCUGAGCUGAUCAGAUCACGGGCAACAAGACCAAAGUGCUGGUGUGGUCCAAUAAAUGAUGGGGGAGGUCAGAGUGGUGCAGCUGGCAACAGAUACAGAAGUUUGAAAACGCAUUCGUCCAGAUUCGGGGGCAGUUUCUUUGCAGCUGUUGCCAGGCAACUGAAUGGUGCUCUCAACAGCGUUAUUCUGACCUCCCAUCCACCUCACUGGAAAUCCUUACAACUAUCGUUAAUUGGACUUUAUCGGACUUAAACGGUGUAAAUGUUAUACCCUUUAUCCUGGAUCUGUACACCGUGGACGGAUCGAUUAUUAUCAUGUAUACUCUUUUGACUGUGAAUAGCACGCGAACAAAAGCGUUUUACUGUACCUCGGUACACAUGGCAACAAUAAACUAAAUGAAACAAGUUUUUCAUUGUAUCUUGGUACACGUGACAGUAAUAACACUCCAGCACAGUUCUGCUGCUUCAGGGCAGCACAGCGGAUUAUUUCAUCAGGGCAAAUCCUGUCAUUGAAUUAAUGAGGCAGCUGAAAGUCUGUCGAAUGAUUCGUGUUGUGUCUAAGUCUGAAACUACAAAUGUCAACUUUUAAAAUUAUAUUAAAAAAGCUCAAAACAAAACUUUGGACACCUCAAAAUGAGCUUCCUUGGGAAUUAAUUUGUGGAAUUAAAAUUCCGGGAAGGAUGUUGAAGUUAGGAGUACGUGAGGAGAUCUAGCAAACAAAUUGAGAGACUGGAGUGCACUACUUUUGAAACACAGUCUCUUUGUAAUGCAGAGAAAAUGACAACUAAUCAACCCACAGCAGCCUCUACACACAUUGAUCGAUGUUAUGAUCCACUGUUAUUGGGCUACUGAACCAUGCUAUCAACAGCUAGUGAGCGGUCCUCCUGAGCCACUAUCUACAUCACUGUUAUCUACCGCCCCUCCAGCAGUAGUGCGCUCACUCACCGGCCCCUCCCGCAAGAAGGAAUACCCUAUGAAUGAGCUCCGCUUUUGGAAACUAUGUCUGAACAUCUGUGUAGGUGAAAGUGUUGACAGACUGACCAGAGCCGCUAAAGUGCUGGAGCAACUCACUGGACAGACCCCGGUGAUUUCAAAAGCUCUCUGUACGGUGUGGUCCUUUGGCAUUCGGAGAAAUGAGAAGAUUGCUGUUCAUUGCACAAUUCGAGGGGCCAAAACUGAAGAAAUCUUAGAGAAGGGUCUGAAGGUUUGGGAGCAUGACUUGAGGAAUAGCAACUUCUGUAACACAGGGAAGUUUGGCUAUGGGAUCCAGGAGCACAUCGAUCUGGGCAUUAAAUGUGAUCCCAGCAUCGGAAGUUAUGGUUUGGAUUUGUACGUGGCCAUGGGGCGACCUGGUUUCAGUAUUUC